rnacentral:misc_RNA from 1 species
AGAGAGAGAGAGAGAGAUGAUAAAGGAGUGGAAUGGGAGAUUUUGAGAAGAAUUGGGGGGUUGGUAGUGACGACAAUUAUAGAAAUGUUGUAGGAGAAAAAAUUGAUUGUGGAGCUCUUGUUUCCUUCCAUGGACGUGGACGUGCGCAUGUGAGUGCGGCACGGUGACGGUGGGUUUGGGUUUGGUUAGCUCCAUAGGCUCUCUGAUAUUUAGUGGGCUCAUAACUGCCUGUGUUUGGGCUUCCUAAACCGUAGUAAAGUUGUGCAACCUUAGCUUAGCCUCCUCCUUUGCCACAUAGCUUUGCCACAUUUUCAAGGCUAAUUUUUUUUUAUUAAUUUUGAAAAAAUUUAAUUUUUUUAAUUUAACAUUUUUUAUUUAAAAAAUGAAAAUAAAAAUAAUUUUAUAAAACUCAAUAAAGUUCUUUUUAUAAAUAAUUUAUUUCAAAUGAAACUAUUAGGAAUUUUAUUAAAUACGAUUAGUAAGUGAACCACAAUAUGAAAUCAUUUUUUUCAGUGGUAAUAUUUAUAAAUAAAAAAAAAUUAAAUAAUUAAACAUUAAUAUUUGAAAAAAAAAGUUUAAAAGUGGAAAAAAAAAUAAACUUUUAACUAAUUAACUAA